rnacentral:rRNA from 1 species
UUCCGGUUGAUCCCGCCGGAGGCUACCGCUAUUGGAGUUCGAUUAAGCCAUGCGAGUCGCGAGUCUUCAAGGACUCGGCGUACCGCUCAGUAACACGUGGGUAACCUGCCCUAUGCUGGGGGAUAACCUCGGGAAACUGAGAAUAAUACCCCAUAGUUCACCACGCCUGGAACGGUGGGUGGAUGAAAGCUCCGGCGGCAUAGGAUGGGCCUGCGGCGUAUCAGGUUGUAGGGGGUGUAAUGUACCCUCUAGCCAUCUACGCGUACGGGUGUUGGGAGACAUCGCCCGGAGAUGGAUUCUGAGACACGAAUCCAGACCCUACGGGGUGCAGCAGGCGCGAAAACUUGGCAAUGCGAGCAAUCGUGACCAGGGAACUCCAAGUGCAUCGGGUAAGACCGAUGCUUUUCUUGACUCUUCAAAGGUCUUGGAAUAAGGGGUGGGUAAGGACGGUGCCAGCCGCCGCGGUAAUACCGGCGCCCCAAGUGGUAGUCGCUUUUAUUGGGCCUAAAACGUCCGUAGCCGGUCUGGUACAUUCGUGGGUAAAUCAACCAGCUCAACUGGUUGAAUUCUGCGAGCACGGCCAGACUUGGGACCGGGAGAGGUGUGGGGUACUCUCAGGGUAGGGGUAAAAUCCUGUCAUCCUGAGAGGACCACCUGUUGCGAAGGCGCCACACUAGAACGGAUCCGACGGUCAGGGACGAAGCCUAGGGGCACGAACCGGAUUAGAUACCCGGGUAGUCCUAGGUGUAAACGCUGUGGACUUGAUGUUGGGGGCGCUCCGAGCGCACUCAGUGUCGAAGCGAAGGUGAUAAGUCCACUGCCUGGGGAGUACGGUCGCAAGGCUGAAACUUAAAGGAAUUGGCGGGGGAGCACCGCAACCUGAGGAUUGUGCGGUUUAAUUGGAUUCAACGCCGG